rnacentral:rRNA from 1 species
UGAAUACGAGAUGCUACGGCGUCGAAGCAGUCUAUGUCAUACUUCCAAGAAAAGCUUGCACUGUCAUAAACAAAUAAUGCCUGUACCAUAACCGACACAGGUGGGUAGGUAGAGUAUACUAAGGGGCGCGAGAUAACUCUCUCUAAGGAACUCGGCAAAAUGACUCCGUAACUUCGGGAGAAGGAGUGCCUUAUUUUAUAAGGUUGCAAUAACAAGAUCCAAGCAACUGUUUACCAAAAACACAGGUCUCCGCUAAGUCGUAAGACGAUGUAUGGGGGCUGACGCCUGCCCAGUGCCAGAAGGUUAAAGAAGUUGGUUAGCAUCCGCGAAGCUGAUAACUGAAGCCCUGGUGAACGGCGGCCGUAACUAUAACGGUCCUAAGGUAGCGAAAUUCCUUGUCGGGUAAGUUCCGACCCGCACGAAAGGCGUAAUGAUUUGGAUACUGUCUCAGAGAGGGGCUCGGUGAAAUAGACUUGUCUGUGAAGAUGCGGACUACCUGCACCAGGACAGAAAGACCCUAUGAAGCUUUACUGUAACUUGAAAUUGAAAUUGGACUUUACUUGCGCAGUAUAGGUGGGAGGCGUUGAGAAUAUUCUUGCGGGAAUGUUGGAGCCAUCAGUGAGAUACCACUCUUGUAAUGUUAGAUUUCUAACUUUGUAUCAUUAUCUGGUCAAAGGACAGUUUCAGGCGGGCAGUUUGACUGGGGCGGUCGCCUCCCAAACGGUAACGGAGGCGCACAAAGGUUUCCUCUGAACGGGUAGAAAUCGUAUCUAGAGUGUAAAGGCAUAAGGAAGCUUGACUGUGAGACCUACAAGUCGAGCAGGGACGAAAGUCGGUCUUAGUGAUCUGACGGUGCUGAGUGGAAAGGCCGUCACUCAGCGGAUAAAAGUUACUCUAAGGAUAACAGGCUGAUCUCCCCCAAGAGUUCACAUCGACGGGGAGGUUUGGCACCUCGAUGUCGGCUCAUCGCAUCCUGGGGCGGUAGUACGUCCCAAGGGUUGGGCUGUUCGCCCAUGAAAGCGGUACGCGAGCUGGGUUCAGAACGUCGUGAGACAGUUCGGUCCAUAUCCGGUGUAGGCGUUAGAAUAUUGAGAGGAGCCUUCUUUAGUACGAGAGGACCGAGAAGGACAUACCUCUGGUGUACCAGUUAUCGUGCCAACGGUAAACGCUGGGUAGCUAUGUAUGGAGUGGAUAACCGCUGAAAGCAUCUAAGUGGGAAGCCCACCUCAAGAUUAGUAUUCC